UUGACCUCGGAUCAGGUAGGGAUACCCGCUGAACUUAAGCAUAUCAAUAAGCGGAGGAAAAGAAACCAACAGGGAUUGCCUCAGUAACGGCGAGUGAAGCGGCAAGAGCUCAAAUUUGAAAGCUGGCCCCCUCGGGGUCCGCGUUGUAAUUUGCAGAGGAUGCUUCGGGUGCAGCCCCCGUCUAAGUGCCCUGGAACGGGCCGUCAUAGAGGGUGAGAAUCCCGUCUGGGACGGG
rnacentral:rRNA from 1 species